GACGUAGGGCGCGAGCGUUGUCCGGAUUUAUUGGGCGUAAAGAGCUCGUAGGCGGCUUGUCGCGUCGACUGUGAAAACCCGAGGCUCAACUUCGGGCUUGCAGUCGAUACGGGCAGGCUAGAGUUCGGUAGGGGGAGACUGGAAUUCCUGGUGUAGCGGUGGAAUGCGCAGAUAUCAGGAGGAACACCGAUGGCGAAGGCAGAUCUCUGGGCCGUAACUGACGCUGAGGAGCGAAAGCGUGGGGAGCGAACAGG
rnacentral:rRNA from 1 species